rnacentral:rRNA from 1 species
GAUGAACGCUGGCGGUCUGCUUAACACAUGCAAGUCGAACGGAGGUAGAAAUACCUCAGUGGCGGACGGGUGAGUAACACGUGAGAAUCUAGCUUCAGGUCGGGGAUAACAGAGGGAAACCGCUGCUAAUACCGAAUGUGCCGAGAGGUGAAAGACAAGUUGCCUGAGGAUGAGCUCGCGGCGGAUUAGCUAGUUGGUGGGGUAAAAGCCUACCAAGGCGACGAUCCGUAGCUGGUCUGAGAGGACGAGCAGCCACACUGGGACUGAGACAAGGCCCAGACUCCUACGGGAGGCAGCAGUGGGGAAUUUUCCGCAAUGGGCGAAAGCCUGACGGAGCAAGACCGCGUGAGGGAGGAAGGCUCUUGGGUUGUAAACCUCUUUUCUUUGGGAAGAAGAAAGUGACGGUACCAAAGGAAUCAGCAUCGGCUAACUCCGUGCCAGCAGCCGCGGUAAUACGGAGGAUGCAAGCGUUAUCCGGAAUCAUUGGGCGUAAAGCGUCCGCAGGUGGUGGGGCAAGUCGGCUGUCAAAGGUCACAGCUUAACUGUGAACAGGCGGUGGAAACUGCCAAACUAGAGUGCGGUAGGGGUAGAGGGAAUUCCCGGUGUAGCGGUGAAAUGCGUAGAGAUCGGGAAGAACACCAGUAGCGAAAGCGCUCUGCUGGGCCUGCACUGACACUGAGGGACGAAAGCUAGGGGAGCGAAUGGGAUUAG